AUUUGUUUAGGGCUUAACUAAGAUUUGUUUAGAAUUGAUUAGGAUUUGCUUAGGAUUUGACUAGGAUUUGAUUAGGAUUUGGUUAGGAUUUAGUUAGAAUUUGUUUAGAGUUUGAUUAAGAUUUAUUUAGAAUUGACUAGGAUUUUGUUAGGAUUUUACUAGAAUUUCGUUAGGAUUUUAUUAGAGUUUGAUUAAAAUUUGUUUAGGAUUUGAUUAGGAUUUGGUUAUGAUUUUUUUAAGAUUUGAUUAGGAUUUGAUUAAGUUUUUUUGGGAUUUGAUUGGAAUUUAUUUAAAAAUUGAUUAGGAUUUUUUAAGAUUUUAUGAGGAUUUGAUUAGGAUUUAAUUAGGAUUUAGUUAGGAUUUAUUUAGAAUUUGAUUAGGAUUUAAUUAAGUUUUUUAUUUUAAUAUUUUAUUAAUAUUUCUAUUUUAGUAUAUUUUUAAAUUCUUCUAUUAUUUCUUUAUGAUUUCUUUAAAGGGUCUUUAGAAAUACUUUGUGUUUCUUAUAUAAUUCCUUUGCAAUUUUGAUUGAAUUUGAUUGAUAUUUGAUUAUAUUUGCUAAUAUUUAAUUAUAAUUUUUUUAAGAAUUUAUUAGAGUUAUUAGGACUUAUUGUUGCAAUUUUCUUUUUAUCUUCCAUAGCCAAGUGUUUGAUGCAUUUUCAAGCCAAACGCCACAUAAUACAACAACGGAUGCUAUGAAGUGAAAGAAUGCUAUGGAAAAAGAGUACAAAUCACUUAUAGACAAUGGAACAUAGGAAUUGAUUCAACUUCCACCAAAUUAAUCU
rnacentral:lncRNA from 1 species